GACGAACGCUGGCGGCGUGCUUAACACAUGCAAGUCGAACGAAGAGCGAUGGAAGCUUGCUUCUAUCAAUCUUAGUGGCGCACGGGUGAGUAACGCGUAAUCAACCUGCCCUUCAGAGGGGGACAACAGUUGGAAACGACUGCUAAUACCGCAUACGAUCUAACCUCGGCAUCGAGGAUGGAUGAAAGGUGGCCUCUAUUUAUAAGCUAUCACUGAAGGAGGGGAUUGCGUCUGAUUAGCUAGUUGGAGGGGUAACGGCCCACCAAGGCGAUGAUCAGUAGCCGGUCUGAGAGGAUGAACGGCCACAUUGGGACUGAGACACGGCCCAGACUCCUACGGGAGGCAGCAGUGGGGAAUCUUCCGCAAUGGACGAAAGUCUGACGGAGCAACGCCGCGUGAGUGAUGACGGCCUUCGGGUUGUAAAGCUCGGUUAAUCGGGACGAAAGGCCUUCUUGCGAAUAGUUAGAAGGAUUGACGGUACCGGAAGAGAAAGCCACGGCUAACUACGUG
rnacentral:rRNA from 1 species